CCUCUCUCUCCCGGGUUCACAAGAUUCUCCUGCCUCAGCCUCCUGAGUAGCUGGGAUUACAGGCACCCACCACGAUGCCCGGCUAAUUUUUAGUAGAGACAGGGUUUCACCAUGUUGACCAGGCUGGCCUCGAACUCCUGACCUCAUGUGAUCUGCCCGCCUGGGCCUCCCAAAGUGCUGGGAUUACAGGUGUGAGCCACUGCGCCCGGCCAAGAUGUGGUGUUUCUAAUGGCAGGCACUUGAACCCAAUUGAACCCUGAGAGCUCUCUGAGAGGGCUGUGUGUCUUGGGAAUGAGAGAGUUAUGAGUUUUUCAGUGCCUUCUCUAGCUUUCUAGAAGUUGUUAUGAGUGGACCUGACUACCUAGAGAGAGUAAUACAGAAGCUCCGUGCCGAUCACAGCUACCUCAUUACCAUGUUCCUCCAAGAUGGCCGCCCCUGAGGAGAAUCAUCAACUGGGCUUUACGGAAGAGAGAAAUCCAAACGACCAUCAGCAACAAAUGAAAGACUGAAGUUGAAAGUUUCAAGAUUGUCAAGAAUGACGAGUUGGACUUGGUCUAGUUACUUCCACAGCAGCAGGAGGAACAUGUGUGUGACUCAGGAUAACUGGGGAAGCCUUGGCUAGGCUUUCCUCAUGUCAACCUACCACUCAAAGGGAGAAAACCUCCUGAUCAGAGGUGCCCAGAACCCAGGAAAUCCAUAAUUUUUGAAUGCUGGCCGAGGUCUGUGACCUCUGACUGAAUGGUUUCCAAGCUCCGAAUUCCUAGGUGAUGUUUUCAUUUGUUCACACUUGCUGAAGAAGGGAAAGGCUCUCUGAUUUACGUGUAAGCAAAACAAUCUAAACAGUAGGAUAAAAUCAUGUUGGAAUGGAGUUCUGUGUGGAUGCUCCUUUGAACCAAAUCAGUUCCACAACUGACCCU
rnacentral:lncRNA from 1 species